UGUGAACUCGAAGAGUAGGGCGGGACACGUGGUAUCCUGUCUGAAUAUGGGGGGACCAUCCUCCAAGGCUAAAUACUCCUGACUGACCGAUAGUGAACCAGUACCGUGAGGGAAAGGCGAAAAGAACCCCGGCGAGGGGAGUGAAAAAGAACCUGAAACCGUGUACGUACAAGCAGUGGGAGCACCUUCGGGUGUGACUGCGUACCUUUUGUAUAAUGGGUCAGCGACUUAUAUUCUGUAGCAAGGUUAACCGUAUAGGGGAGCCGCAGGGAAACCGAGUCUUAACUGGGCGUUAAGUUGCAGGGUAUAGACCCGAAACCCGGUGAUCUAGCCAUGGGCAGGUUGAAGGUUGGGUAACACUAACUGGAGGACCGAACCGACUAAUGUUGAAAAAUUAGCGGAUGACUUGUGGCUGGGGGUGAAAGGCCAAUCAAACCGGGAGAUAGCUGGUUCUCCCCGAAAGCUAUUUAGGUAGCGCCUCGUGAAUUCAUCUUCGGGGGUAGAGCACUGUUUCGGCUAGGGGGUCAUCCCGACUUACCAACCCGAUGCAAACUACGAAUACCGAAGAAUGUUAUCACGGGAGACACACGGCGGGUGCUAACGUCCGUCGUGAAGAGGGAAACAACCCAGACCGCCAGCUAAGGUCCCAAAGUCAUGGUUAAGUGGGAAACGAUGUGGGAAGGCACAGACAGCCAGGAUGUUGGCUUAGAAGCAGCCAUCAUUUAAAGAAAGCGUAAUAGCUCACUGGUCGAGUCGGCCUGCGCGGAAGAUGUAACGGGGCUAAACCAUGCACCGAAGCUGCGGCAGCGACACUAUGUGUUGUUGGGUAGGGGAGCGUUCUGUAAGCCUGCGAAGGUGUGCUGUGAGGCAUGCUGGAGGUAUCAGAAGUGCGAAUGCUGACAUAAGUAACGAUAAAGCGGGUGAAAAGCCCGCUCGCCGGAAGACCAAGGGUUCCUGUCCAACGUUAAUCGGGGCAGGGUGAGUCGACCCCUAAGGCGAGGCCGAAAGGCGUAGUCGAUGGGAAACAGGUUAAUAUUCCUGUACUUGGUGUUACUGCGAAGGGGGGACGGAGAAGGCUAUGUUAGCCGGGCGACGGUUGUCCCGGUUUAAGCAUGUAGGCUG
rnacentral:rRNA from 1 species